rnacentral:misc_RNA from 1 species
UGAAGAACGUAGCGAAAUGCGAUAAGUAAUGUGAAUUGCAGAAUUCAGUGAAUCAUCGAAUCUUUGAACGCACAUUGCGCCCGCCAGUAUUCUGGCGGGCAUGCCUGUUCGAGCGUCAUUUCAACCAUCAAGCCCCAGGCUUGUGUUGGGGACCUGCGGCUGCCGCAGGCCCUGAAAACCAGUGGCGGGCUCGCUGUCACACCGGGCGUAGUAGAUUUUAUCUCGCUCAGGGCGUGCUGCGGGUUCCGGCCGUUAAAAAGCCUUUUUUACCCAAGGUUGACCUCGGAUCAGGUAGGAAGACCCGCUGAACUUAAGCAUAUCAAUAAGCGGAGGA